AACCCUUGGCAAUGGGCAAAGAGACCCCUUGUUGUUGCUGGUGCUCUUCAAUCAGUCAGGGGCAGAGCAGAUGGCGGUCCUUUGUUCAUCCUAGCCUGAUGCCUGGGUUGGUGGCCAAAGCUUUCUUAUGCCUAGGACAUAUAA